rnacentral:rRNA from 1 species
AUUGAACGCUGGCGGCAGGCCUAACACAUGCAAGUCGAGCGGAUGAAGGGAGCUUGCUCCUGUAUUCAGCUGCGGACGGGUGAGUAAUGCCUAGGAAUCUGCCUGGUCGUGGGGGAUAACGUCCGUAAACGGGCGCUUAUCCCGCAUACGUCCUUAGGGAGAAAGGGAUGGUUCUACGGAGCUCACGCUACCAGAUGACCCUAGGUCGGAUUAGCUAGUUGGUUGGGUAAGGGCCUACCAAGGCGACGAUCCGUAACUGGUCUGAGAGGAUGAUCAGUCACACUGGAACUGAGACACGGUCCAGACUCCUACGGGAGGCAGCAGUGGGGAAUAUUGGACAAUGGGCGAAAGCCUGAUCCAGCCAUGCCGCGUGUGUGAAGAAGGUCUUCGGAUUGUAAAGCACUUUAAGUUGGGAGGAAGGGCAGUAAGUUAAUACCCUGCUGUUUUGACGUUACCAACAGAAUAAGCACCGGCUAACUUCGUG